rnacentral:lncRNA from 1 species
GGUAUUGCUGCUGAUGCCCUAAUGUUUAAACAAAGCUUCUCUUACUUAACUAAUUGCAAACCAGAUCUUGGUAUCUACCCAUGAUCUAUGAGCCCCCAUUCAAGAUGUCCCAUCCUUUUAAGCUUACACCAAUGUGUAACCUCUGUGUAUUGAUUUACCUGUAGCUUCCGUUUUCCUGAAAGUUGCCCCUGCCUUUAAAAACACUGGCCUGCGAGCCAUCCAGGAGGCCAGAUCUUGAGCAGUUAGCUGCCUGGUCCUCCUCGCUUAGUGCUCCACAGUAACCACCCUCCUUUCUACCAUGGCAGAAAGCUUGGUGUGAGUAUCUGGUUUUAUUGUGCAGGGAGAGUGACCACCAGUUUGGUUCUAUAACACUGCCACUGUGUCCCUUCUUUGAAGGGAAGCCUGCAAAGGAGGGAAAAAGGCCGCAUCAGCGGUAGAAAGGCAUUACAUAAACUCCCAGUCACCAGCUUGGACCCUAGUCCAUUCUGUUCUCUUUAAUCUUUUUUUUUUUGGACGGGGUGGUGGGAGGCGAGGUGGGGUAAGAAGCUUCCAGUAGAAACCAGAAAACCUGCUAGACAAAUUCUAAAAGAGUUCUUAAUAUUGUCCACUUCUUUCCACCUUUGUCCUUCAGUUUUCCUCAGUCUCUUUUUCUGUCUUUGUCUCUCUGCCUGGUCUCGUCUUCUCUCCCAAGUCUGUCUUAAUAACCUCAGGUGCAGGGCGGUUUGUCAUGCAUCUUGCAGUGGGACAGCAGGAAACGGCUUGGUGGGACCCCACUGUCUAUCUGAGGGUAAACCAUUCACUACCGUGGCUCUGCAACCAGG